CUUCCCGGUGGGUAUACGACCUAAACGGACGCGGUAAACGUGCUAAGGUAGCUAAAUUAUGGCCUAUUAAUUGUAGGCCCUGUGAAUGGUUUGACGAGUCUUCAUCUGUCUCAAGGUUAUUUUGGUGAACUUGAAUUAAAUGUGCAAAUGCAUUUAUGUGGAAGAAAGACGAGAAGACCCUGUGAAGUUAGAAAUUAGGUUUUGGCUGGGGCAGCAAAAAGGCAAAUCUAGACCUUUUUUAAUGGGUGCGUAACGACCCACAAAAGUGUGCUUAGCAGAAGGAGUUACUCCAGGGAUAACAGCGUUAUCAUCCUGAUAGUUCUUAUAGAUGGGUGGGUUUGCGACCUCGAUGUUGGCUCUGGGUUUCCGGAGGCUGAGGUGGUCUCAAAGGUUGGUUUGU
rnacentral:rRNA from 1 species